CCCUUCCGCACUCUAGCCUUGCAGUAUCAGCUGCUGUUCUUCCGUUAAGCAGAAGGCUUUCACAACUGACUUACAAGGCCGCCUACGUGCUCUUUACGCCCAAUAAUUCCGAACAACGCUUGCCGCCUCUGUAUUACCGCGGCUGCUGGCACAGAGUUAGCCGUGGCUUCCUCCGGAGCCCUAGUCAAGUAAGGAUACUAUUAACACCCUUA
rnacentral:rRNA from 1 species